UUGAACGCUGGCGGCAUGCCUUACCCAUGCAAGUCGAACGGCAGCGCGGACUUCGGUCUGGCGGCGAGUGGCGAACGGGUGAGUAAUACAUCGGAACGUACCCUGUUGUGGGGGAUAACUAGUCGAAAGAUUAGCUAAUACCGCAUACGACCUGAGGGUGAAAGUGGGGGACCGCAAGGCCUCACGCAGCAGGAGCGGCCGAUGUCUGAUUAGCUAGUUGGUGGGGUAAAGGCCCACCAAGGCGACGAUCAGUAGCUGGUCUGAGAGGACGAUCAGCCACACUGGGACUGAGACACGGCCCAGACUCCUACGGGAGGCAGCAGUGGGGAAUUUUGGACAAUGGGGGCAACCCUGAUCCAGCAAUGCCGCGUGUGUGAAGAAGGCCUUCGGGUUGUAAAGCACUUUUGUCCGGAAAGAAAUCGCGCUGGUUAAUACCUGGCGUGGAUGACGGUACCGGAAGAAUAAGCACCGGCUAACUACGUG
rnacentral:rRNA from 1 species